rnacentral:misc_RNA from 1 species
AGUCGUAACAAGGUAUCCGUAGGUGAACCUGCGGAUGGAUCAUUAACAAAGGUGUUUUUGAAGUUGUGUGAACAGUUGGAGGUGGUGGUGGUGGUGGUGGUAUUGGGUGGUACUGGGUGGUAUUGGGUGGUAUUGGGUGGUGUAACCUUGGUCUAACCUUGGUCAACCUCACUCAACCUCACUCUCCCAACCUCCACCACUCCGUCCCUAUAAUGUAUACAAACUGAUGUCUGCUAGUUUCAAACUAAAACAACUUUUAGCAACGGAUCUCUUGGCUCUC